GCUGGGGCUUCUCCCAAGUGCUGAUGCUGCAGUGUUCCCAUCAGAUGCACGCAGGAAGCAUCUUCCUGUUAUUUCUCUGGGUGGGCACACACAGACCUGGAUCCUGGAGAAUGCACAGCAGCCUCAGCUCUGCAAGCUGCAGCACACAGGGAAUGUCUGCCUGCAUGGAGAGUGUCCAUGGAGCCCUGCCCUCGAGCCCUGUCCAGCUAUCUUCAUGUGGCAGCCACUAGAAGUGUGUGCUCGGAGGAACUGGCCCAGAGGAAGCGACUCUGCACUCGUGGCUCAUCAGCCCUGGCAGGAAACAGCAGGUCAGAGUCAGAGGGAACUUACUUAAAAGCUAAUGAGUGAGUGGUGCAGCAAGCACUGCAAGAAAGCAGGGCUUGGCAGUCAGCAGGGGAGCUUGGGGUUCUCUGUCUCUGUCCUUAUUCCACUUCCUCUCCUCUUGUUCACUUCUGUUUAACCAGAGAGGUGCCAAGGUGAUGAUCUGUCCGAUGGGAAUUUCUAGGUGAGACUGUGCCCUCUCCUGAUCUGAGCACAGCUCCCUCUGG
rnacentral:lncRNA from 12 species